UCUGCAGACAAACAAACAGUGUUACAUCACUGGAGGGUUUCUGAUGUGACCUGUGACUUCAGUGCCACUCAAACUGAUUUAUGGGUCCAUUGAACAGAGGCAUCCAUCUGCUCAACAGGAUUCAGAGUAUUUUUGUGCCCACUUAACAAGUAGACAACAUUGGCUAGUUUCAUAAAACAUCAUGUUUGCAGCUCUGUAAGUUCUACUACUUUACGUUUAUGCAUGUUUUCAGCAGACGUUUAAAGUGCACGUUAGUCACGUUAAUGGCAGAGAGCUGGUUAUGGCUGUGUUCUUUACCGACGGGUUGCGUAACGGAACGCUGUGUGUUCUUUUGUCAGAGCUGCAGACUGCCAUAGUACACUCGGGCUAUCACACAUCUGUGAAUCAUAACAGUAUGCUAUGAAUGGACGUUUUAAUGAACGUAUAAGAACAACUCCAGGCGUUUAAUGAGGGAGUUUAAGAGUAUCGUGACAGUGUGGCAGAUGAGCAAUUAAUCCCAGCAAGAUUAAUCAGCGAAGCAUUAAAAUAGAACGCUACCCUAAAGCCCCGUUCACAACAAGAACGAUAAUGAAUCAGCGUUAACGUCCACAUCAACUGAUGUUCCGUUUAUUCUAAACGCGCGCUGCACUUAUUGUGUGGGAAUAAUAAAGCGCUUUAAAGAAGACAUCGUUUUUGAUCGGCUGUCAGUGUUUAUAUCAACGCUGUAAUAGUGAUGCAAACGGCACGGUUCGGCGUUUCCGCUAUUCUAUUGAAAACGUUCACAUAAGUUCCAGGAACUGCUCUCUGGAGGAAGACGGGGACGGCUGAGGACAGGAUGAUGAUACAACAUCUGAUACCAACGCAUCUGAACGUAAAUAAACACUACUACCUGGCCAGAACGGCAUGUUAAGCUUCAGAUUUCAGUACUGUGAACUGCUCAUGCAACAGAACGAACCGCUGGACACAAUUAACGUUCCUCCAAAAUGUUCAUCCUGUUAUACUAUAAGCGCCUGUUGGUAAUGUUUAGGAACUCAAACUAAAAUGUUGUUUGUUGUAUGGGACACUGGCUUAUGUAUACGUGCAGAACGUGUGUUCCAUAGAUGUACAAGCACACAAACACACACUCACGAGACAUGCUUCACCUACACACACAGAGCAGCGCUGCAGAAAGAAACAUUGUUACAUAGCCUCAGGAUGAAGAGGUCAAUCUCAUAAAGGACGCAUCUUUUAUAAUCCUUUAAUUGUUAUGCAUUCGCUUAACUAUUACAUUUAAUGUCAUCUCAUAGCUAUCUUGUGGGUAAAAAAAAAAAAAAAAAAAAGAGGUUCCUAUAUAAACUAUAGGCUCGCAUGAUUUUACCUCUCUCGGGGGUGUCAGCGUUCCGUCCACAUCAAACAAGCACAAAACAUUUCGACCUCCGGCUACACGAGACUUUCUAUCCAUUUCUUCUUGUCCAGCAAUUGAAGUAGACAUAAAAUAAAAU